AUAACGUCCGGAAACGGGCGCUAAUACCGCAUACGUCCUACGGGAGAAAGUGGGGGAUCUUCGGACCUCACGCUAUUAGAUGAGCCUAGGUCGGAUUAGCUAGUUGGUGAGGUAAUGGCUCACCAAGGCUACGAUCCGUAACUGGUCUGAGAGGAUGAUCAGUCACACUGGAACUGAGACACGGUCCAGACUCCUACGGGAGGCAGCAGUGGGGAAUAUUGGACAAUGGGCGAAAGCCUGAUCCAGCCAUGCCGCGUGUGUGAAGAAGGUCUUCGGAUUGUAAAGCACUUUAAGUUGGGAGGAAGGGCAGUUACCUAAUACGUGAUUGUUUUGACGUUACCGACAGAAUAAGCACCGGCUAACUCUGUGCCAGCAGCCGCGGUAAUACAGAGGGUGCAAGCGUUAAUCGGAAUUACUGGGCGUAA
rnacentral:rRNA from 1 species